rnacentral:rRNA from 1 species
CGCACCUUGCGCCUUUUGGCUAUUCCGAAGGGCAUGCCUGUUUGAGUAUCAUGAACACCUCAACUCUCGUGGUUUGCUACGACGAGUUUGGACUUUGGGGGUUUUGCUGGCCUGUGGUCGGCUCCUCUCAAAUGAAUUAGCUUCCCAGCGUUUGGUGGAGUCACAGGUGUGAUAACUAUCUACGCUUGUGGUUUUUUUACCAGAUAACCUUUGGGUUCGCUGGGGCUCAUAAAUGUCUUUCCUCAGUGAAGACAGCUUUUGAACGUUUGAUCUCAAAUCAGGUAGGACUACCCGCUGAACUUAA